rnacentral:tRNA from 1 species
GUGUGUAGCUCAGGUGGUAGAGCACUUGACUUUUAAUCAAGUUGUCCGGGGUUCGAAUCCCCGCA